GGCCUCGUGGUGCAAUGGCUCUGCACCAGGCCGGUCCCGCCAAAACCACGGGUUCGAAUCCCGUCGAAACCA
rnacentral:tRNA from 1 species